rnacentral:rRNA from 4 species
GAGGCUCGAAGGCGAUCAGAUACCGCCCUAGUUCUAACCAUAAACGAUGCCAGCCAGCGAUCCGGCUGUGUUCCUCAAAUGACACGCCGGGCAGCUUCCGGGAAACCAAAGCUUUUGGGUUCCGGGGGAAGUAUGGUUGCAAAGCUUAAACUUAAAGGAAUUGACGGAAGGGCACCACAAGCCAUGGAGCAUGCGGUUCAAUUUGACUCAACACGGGAAAUCUUAUCCGGCCCGGACACAGGAAGGAUUGACAGAUUAAGAGCUCUUUCUUGAUUCUGUGAGUGGUGGUGCAUGGCCGUUCUUAGUUGGUGGAGUGAUUUGUCUGCUUAAUUGCGAUAACGAACGAGACUCUAGCCUACUAAAUAGACGUUCCGAUCCUCUUAGUCGGACGCUCUUCUUAGGGGGACAGGCGGCGACUAGCCGCACGAGACAGAGCAAUAACAGGUCUGUGAUGCCCUCAGAUGUUCGGGGCCACACGCGCGCUACAUUGAAGGAAUCAGCGUGUGCUUUCCCUGUCCGACAGGACUGGGUAACCCGUUGAACCUCCUUCGUGCUGGGGAUAGGGGCUUGCAAUUCUUCCCCUUGAACGAGGAAUGCCUAGUAAGCACGAGUCAUCAAUUCGUGUUGAUUAGGUCCCUGCCCUUUGUACACACCGCCCGUCGCUAUAAGCGAUUGAAUGGUUUAGUGAGGUCUUCGGACUGGCGCUCGAAUUGGCCUUCCGGUCGAGUCGACGUGCCGGAAAGAUGACCAAACUUGAUCAUUUAGAGCAUAUAAAAGUCGU